CGCGUGAGCGACAUGCCCGUUGCCCGGGGACAACCGGUGGAAACGCCGACUAAUCCCCGAUGGGAUACGAUGCUGCAUGGCAUUGUAUUGAAAGUUACGGCGGCGACGGAUUGGCUCGCGUCCGAUUAGCUGGUUGGCGGGGUAUCGGCCCACCAAGGCUGCGAUCGGUAGGGGUUCUGAGAGGAAGGCCCCCCACAAUGGGACUGAGACACGGCCCAUACUCCUACGGGAGGCAGCAGUGAGGAAUAUUGGUCAAUGGGCGGAAGCCUGAACCAGCCAUGCCGCGUGCGGGAAGGAGGCCCUAUGGGCUGUGAACCGCUUUUGCCUGGGGGCAAUAAGGGCGUCGCGCACGCCCGAUGAGAGUACCAGGCGAAUAAGCAUCGGCUAACUCCGUGCCAGCAGCCGCGGUAAUACGGGGGAUGCGAGCGUUAUCCGGAUUCAUUGGGUUUAAAGGGUGCGUAGGCUGUGCGUCAAGUCGGGGGUGAAA
rnacentral:rRNA from 1 species